rnacentral:rRNA from 1 species
UGCAAGUCGAGCGGUAAGGCCCUUCGGGGUACACGAGCGGCGAACGGGUGAGUAACACGUGGGUGAUCUGCCUCGCACUCUGGGAUAAGCCUGGGAAACUGGGUCUAAUACCGGAUAUGAGCAUGGUCUGCAUGGACUGUGUUGGAAAGGUUUACUGGUGCGAGAUGGGCCCGCGGCCUAUCAGCUUGUUGGUGGGGUAACGGCCUACCAAGGCGACGACGGGUAGCCGGCCUGAGAGGGCGACCGGCCACACUGGGACUGAGACACGGCCCAGACUCCUACGGGAGGCAGCAGUGGGGAAUAUUGCACAAUGGGCGAAAGCCUGAUGCAGCGACGCCGCGUGAGGGAUGACGGCCUUCGGGUUGUAAACCUCUUUCGACAGGGACGAAGCGCAAGUGACGGUACCUGUAGAAGAAGCACCGGCCAACUACGUGCCAGCAGCCGCGGUAAUACGUAGGGUGCGAGCGUUGUCCGGAAUUACUGGGCGUAAAGAGCUUGUAGGCGGUCUGUCGCGUCGAUUGUGAAAACUCACAGCUCAACUGUGAGCCUGCAGUCGAUACGGGCAGACUAGAGUACUUCAGGGGAGACUGGAAUUCCUGGUGUAGCGGUGAAAUGCGCAGAUAUCAGGAGGAACACCGGUGGCGAAGGCGGGUCUCUGGGAAGUAACUGACGCUGAGAAGCGAAAGCGUGGGUAGCGAACAGGAUUAGAUACCCUGGUAGUCCACGCCGUAAACGGUGGGUACUAGGUGUGGGUUUCCUUCCACGGGAUCCGUGCCGUAGCUAACGCAUUAAGUACCCCGCCUGGGGAGUACGGCCGCAAGGCUAAAACUCAAAGGAAUUGACGGGGGCCCGCACAAGCGGCGGAGCAUGUGGAUUAAUUCGAUGCAACGCGAAGAACCUUACCUGGGUUUGACAUACACCGGAAAGCCGUAGAGAUACGGCCCCCCUUGUGGUCGGUGUACAGGUGGUGCAUGGCUGUCGUCAGCUCGUGUCGUGAGAUGUUGGGUUAAGUCCCGCAACGAGCGCAACCCUUAUCUUAUGUUGCCAGCGCGUAAUGGCGGGGACUCGUGAGAGACUGCCGGGGUCAACUCGGAGGAAGGUGGGGACGACGUCAAGUCAUCAUGCCCCUUAUGUCCAGGGCUUCACACAUGCUACAAUGGCCGGUACAGAGGGCUGCGAUACCGUGAGGUGGAGCGAAUCCCUUAAAGCCGGUCUCAGUUCGGAUCGGGGUCUGCAACUCGACCCCGUGAAGUUGGAGUCGCUAGUAAUCGCAGAUCAGCAACGCUGCGGUGAAUACGUUCCCGGGCCUUGUACACACCGCCCGUCACGUCAUGAAAGUCGGUAACACCCGAAGCCGGUGUCCUAA